AUGGCCCGUCGCGGCGCCGUCAAGCGGCGGGCGUGGUCUGAUCUCCCGGCCGACCUCCUCGCCGCCAUCUACCUCAGGUGCUCCCCGCCGUACGACCGCGCGCGCUUCGCGGCCGUCUGCAGGUCAUGGCGAGCCGCCGCGUCGUGGCAACCGGCGCGGCCACCUCUCCCGCUGCUGUUCUCCUGGACCGGCGACCGCAAGCGUGACCGGAAUAUACGAGCGUACAAUCCCGUGGACGGCAGGGCCUUGCGCGUCCUGCUGCCCAAGAUCCUGAGGGGCAAGAAGUUCGUCGGAUCCUACGACGGCGGCUGGGUCGCCGCCACGUCGAGGCGCGAGCGCGACUCCCAACUUCUGAUCGUCAAUCUCUUUUCUAUGGUCCAGGUGGCACUCUCCGACAAUCAAAGGAGUAUCGUCUGUGCGUGCCCGGAUGCCUUCGAGGAGCCAGACAAUGCUCGCACCAGCCGGGCGCCGGUUGUGAAAGUCAUCUUCUCCGACGACCCUACCUCGAGCGGAUGCAUCCUCGCCGCCAUCACCAAGAGGUGCAAAAUAGCGCUUUGCAGGGUUGGCAGCAGUGGCGAAGCCACGUUAUGCCUGUGCUGUCGGUUGACAACACAGGAUUUUCGUAGGUCGUUGAACCCCAGUCCGGAAAACAUCUGGACGACACGAGGGUGUGGCCUAUACGCGGAGAGGGAGCUCGUGGACAUCGCCUUCUGCAACGGCCAACUUUUCGGGCUCAUGGUCGGUGGCUGUGAUCUGUACAAGUACCGCAUCGACCUCAACGAAGGCGCUCCGGUGAUCACCUUGGUUUAUCAAAUUCACCAAAUGCCCUUUGUACAUGUGCCUAGGUGGGACUAUUGCCCUAGAUACAUUUUUGAGCUGUGCGGCAAGCUAGCGGUGGUGUCAGAGGCCAAUUCGGCACUCAAAGGCUAUGAAUCUUGCUUUUUUAAGGUGUUUGAGCUCAUGAAUGAGGCUACACCGGGCAGAUAUACAUGGGCAGAGGUAACCACAUUGGGUGAGCAUGCCUUGUUCUUGGGGCCACAGUCCUAUAAGUUGGUGCACGUGCCGACGGCGGGCCGGCAUGGGAGGUUGGAGGAAAACCGCAUCUACUAUCAUAUGCGACAACAGGAGAACCUUGCUAGGCACAAGGAGUGCUUGACGAAGUUGGGCCUCGGCAGCUGCAGCGUCUAUCGGGAAAACCGAGGUAUGAAUCAAUGCAUGGAGACGAUCACCUCGGAGGGAUACCAUUUCAAAGACGAUAAUGGUAAUGGUUGCAUGUGGCUCCUGCCUUCGGAGUUAUGUUAG
rnacentral:rRNA from 1 species